rnacentral:rRNA from 1 species
CCCUUAGAUGUUCUGGGCUGCACACGUGCUACACUGGCAGGUUCAGCGAGCUUCAUGCCCUGAUCUGAAGGGAAUGGGAAAUCUUUUCAAAACCUGCCGUGCUUGGGAUAGAUGUUUGCAAUUAUUCAUCUUCAACGAGGAUUGCCUUGUAAGCGCACGUCAUCAGCGUGCAUUGAAUACGACCCUGUAUUCUGUACACACCGCCCGUCGCUCCUACCGAUUGAAGUUUUCGGUGAGUUGACAGGAGGAUUUUUUUGAAACUGGUUCGCCAGUGGAUUUUAGAUCCAAAUGCCAACGAAUCGAUGGCUUUAGAGGAAGGAGAAGUCGUAACA